ensembl:lncRNA
GGAGCAUGCGCAGUCAUGGCACCGGCGUCAGCCGGUGUGACUCGCGGGCUCAGGCUUGUAACGCACAUCUCUAAUUAUCCGGAAGUGCGGUCCCAGACGCUUAAAUCCCUUUGUCCCGGCAGCCGGAAGUGGCCAGGAGUGAUUAGUUGGUGUUUCACGGCAGAUGUUGAUUCCAGUCUGUACGAAUUAGACAACCUGUCUUGAAUAUGGAAAAGCUAGACAGUGCUUUGUCUGGAGAUGUUGGAAAACAUAAAGGCUAAGCCGAACCCACCGAAUUUCAGGAAAUUAAGACUCAGCUGGCAGCUAUAACCUGUGAAGGUCACAGGGUGGCAGAAAUGGGUUUAGAGAGACUUCCCUGGAGGUCCAGUGGUUGAGACUCCGCGCUUCCACUGCAGGGGGCAUGAUUGGAUCCCUUAUCUAGAACUAAGAUCCCACAUGCCCCACAGCAGAGCAAAAAAAAAGGAAAUGGGUUUUGAAUCCUGUUCCCAAGCAAAUGCUUUCCCACGUCAUUGACCUGUCACCCGUCACCUGUAAAUCCAGGAUGGCUCAUUUAUCUUUUCCUUUUCCUGACCCUAAAGUUCUGUGAUCUUAGUUCCCUGACCAAGGAUUGAACCUUGGGCACUCAGCAUGAAAGCAUAGAGUUGUGACCGCUGGACAACCUUGGAAUUCUGUAGAUUUUUCAACCAUAGAAAAUUACAAAGAGACUAAUAAUGUGGAUAAUGCUUCUUUAGAAACAAAUACCAAGAGGUAAGUAUAAAAAGCAAAACAAAUAUCAAGAAGAAAUACAUAAGCAAGAAACUUAUAUCUUUGGUAUAGAGGUCUUCUUGAGAAAGAUGCAAAACCAUUUUUAAACACUUGAUAUAUUUUACUAAAAAAACAAAAAAUUUUUUUUUAGCCACAACUUGUGGGAUCUCAGACCCCUGACCAGGGAUUGAACCUAGGCCAUGGCAAUGAAAGCCCAGAAUCCUCACCACUAGCCACCAGUUCAGUUCAGUUCAGUUCACUUCAGCCUCUCAGUCAUGUCCAACUCUGCAACUCCAUGGACUGCAGCAUGCCAGGCUUCCCUGUCCAUCACCAACUCCUGGGGCUUACUCAAACUCAUGUCCAUUGAGUCAGUGAUGCUAUCCAACCAUCUUAUCCUCUGUUGUCCCCUUCUCUUCCUGCCUUCAGUCUUUGCCAGCAUCAGGAUCUUUUCCAGUGAAUCAGCUCUUCACAUCAGGUGGCCAAAGUAUUGGAGUUUCAGCUUCAGCAUCAGUCCUUCCAAUGAAUACUCAGGACUGAUUUCCUUUACGAUGGACUGAUUGGAUCUCCUUGCAGUCCAAGGGACUCUCAAGAGUCUUUUCCAACACCACAGUUCAAAAGCAUUAAUUCUUCAGCACUCUUUCUUUAUAGUCUAACUCUCACAUCCAUACAUGACUACUGGAAAAGCCAUAACUUUGACCAACUUUACCAACUUUGUUGGUAAAGUAAUGUCUCUGCUUUUCAAUAUGCUGUCUAGGUUGGUCAUAGCUUUUCUUCCAAGGAGCAAGGGUCUUUUAACUUCAUGGCUGCAGUCACCAUCUGCAGUGAUUUUGGAGCCCAAGAAAAUAAAGUCUGUCACUGUUUCCAUUGUUUACCCUAUCUAUUCGCCAUGAAGUGAUGAGAACAGAUGCCAUAAUUUUAGCUUUCUGAAUGUGGAGUUUUAAGCCAACUUUUUCACUCUCCUCUUUCACUUUCAUCAAGAGGCUCUUUAGUUCUUCACUUUUUGCCAUAAGGGUGGUGUCAUCUGCAUAUCUGAGGUUAUUGAUAUUUCUCCCAGCAAUCUUGACUCCAGCUUGUGUUUCUUCCAGUCCAACGUUUCUCAUGAUGUACUCUGCAUAGAAGUUAAAUAAGCAGGGUGACAAUAUACAGCCUUGACGUACUCCUUUUCAAAUUUGGAACCAGUCUGUUGUUCCAUGUCCAGUUCUAACUGUUGCUUCCUGACCUGCAUACAGAUUUCUCAAGAGGCAGGUUAGGUGGUCUGGUAUUCCCAUCUCUUUCAGAAUUUUCCACAGUUUAUUGUGAUCCACACAGUCAAAGGCUUUGGCAUAGUCAAUAAAGCAGAAAUAGAUGUUUUUCUGGAACUCUCUUGCUUUUUCCAUGAUCCAGCAGAUGUUGGCAAUUUUGAUCUCUGGUUCCUCUGCCUUUUCUAAAACCAGCUUGAACAUCAGGAAGUUCACGGUUCACAUAUUGCUGAAGCCUGGCUUGGAGAAUUUUGAGCAUUAGUUUACUAGCGUGUGAGAUGAGUGCAAUUGUGUGGUAGUUUGAGCAUUCUUGACUUCCCUGGUGGUUCAGACGAUAAAGC